GCUGGGAGGGGUGGUACACUCCUGUAAUCCCAGCAGUUUGGGAGGCUGAGGCAGGAGGAUCUUGAGUUCAAAGUCAGCCUCAGCAAAAGCAAGGUGCUAAGCAUCUCAGUGAGACCCUGUCUCUA
rnacentral:sRNA from 1 species